rnacentral:lncRNA from 1 species
ACAUGGGCCGUCGAGCAGUCGCCGGACGGGAUCGAUUGAUAUGUUAGACAUAGUCGCCAAAAUAUUUCUAAUCACAGCAUACUGUUUUACAAUGAAGGACGCUGAAUAGUGUGACCUUGGACACACUGUACACGAUGGAAAGACAUAAAGCUUAAUGCUAGACUGUCAUUAAUUCUAAAACUGUUUGAUAAAGGCCUACUUGGGUUAAACGAAAACAAAAUUAUCAUGUAACCAUAACAAAUAUCUACUUGAAAACUGUAAAAACUCAUUGAAUGUCAGCUUAUUAAGUAUCCUUUAUCAAUAAUUAACUUAAUUAGUGUAAACUUAUAAUGAGUUUUAACCAGUGACUAAAGUUCUUUGAAUUUCUUUAGUUCCAUAAGGUUUCAUUAUUCCAGACAUUUUCGUAUCAUGAAUCUUGUUUUCUGCUUGAUAUCCACUUAAUUUGCUUUAGAAACUCAUUCUCUCUGAAGUUACGCCAUUAAUAAACGGAGCAAAAUUAAAAUGGCGAAGUAGCAGUAAUAUCACCAGGGUGUCAAACGGAAUGACUUGGAGAAACUAGUUCUAGUUCUCUUUGCCGCCGCUUGGCCUCUCAGCCUUUCAGGGUCGGUAAAUGAAAUAAAUGACAAGCACUGAUGUCUUUCCUUUCUUUCUUUCUUUCUUUCUUUCUUUCUUUCUUUCUUUUCUUUUCUUUCUUUCUUUUAUUGUAGCUAGCCAUUUCUGGCGCCCUACAUGUUGAUAUGCCUACGUUCUGCUGAAUCCUUACAACUAAUAUACAUACAUACAUACAUGCAUACAUACAAACAUACAUACAUACAUACAUACAUACAUACAUACAUACAUACAUACAUACAUACAUACAUACAUACAUACAUACACGCAUGGAUACAUCAUUCAAGUCGUCAGCUCUUCUCGCCAAAAGUUAAACGUAAAGAUAUUUACUCUAUCUUUUAACUCCCAUAUAUCAUUUCUUUAGACCAACAUAAUAACAUCUUGCUGUUUACAGUGUUUGUUAUUUCAUUACAUUAUCCAUCAAUUAUGUUUUAUAGUAAUUGAUAGAACAUAUAAUUUAUUAAUAGUCACACAUUUUUGUAUUUAUAAUUAAUAGUUUUGGUCAAAGUCCCCCCCCCCAAAAAAAAACAAAAAAAAAAAAAAAGAACCCAAAAAGACAAAAACCAUCGUCGGAGAGUUCCCAUGUCAAAUCACCGUUAAGAACUACUUCAUUAUCUUGCAAUAUUUCACGUUGAAAUAUUUUCCUCAUCCACAGAUCUUCAGAGAUACCCCUCUCUCUCCCUUUCUCUCUUUCUUUUUCUCUCGCUCUUUCAACCUCUCUACCUCCACCCUUCUUUCUCUUUGUCUCUCUUUCUGGCUCUAAAAAUAUUUUCCAUUUAAUUUAUUUUAAUUCUUUAAUUAAAAAUCCCGUCGUAAUCAGAUUUAAAAUGAGCGGUAUCAUAUUUAAUCCCCUCAAAGCUCGUUGGAUCUGUAAAUAUUUUUUUGCUGAUACCUUUGCCAGGAAAUUUUGUCAAAUAUAAAAUUUUUCUUGAUGACAAAAUAGGAUGAUCUUGCAGGGAAGAUGGCGCUUAUUUUACUUGGAAAAAAAAGUCUAAACCGUCUGAUUUGCCGAAAGGAAAAAAAAAAGGGGGAGGGAAGGAAAAGCGUUUGUGACAGACACGUUUUCUAAACCCACUUUUGAAGGGAUUAUUUAAGGGAUUCGCCUCACGAAACGAUGCGAUCUGUGUUCAAUAUCCAUUAUUCCGUGCUUUAAUACAAAUUUGAAAAACUAAACAAAUAGCAAAAACACACUGAACAUGGCUGAAUUAUAACAGACACUAUUUUCUUCAUUAGGUUUUUUAUUAACUGAAUGUGAUACAGUAAGGCACGGUUUAAGAAUUUAAUUAAAGUAAGUUAGUCCUAAAGGCAUUCUCUUGAAUUCUCUCUUAUUGGCAUUGCAGAAACGUCUUCGAGAACUUACGCUUAUGAAAUAAUCUCCAUUUCAUGGAGUUUCCAUUCAGUAUAACUUGGUAUCAGACCAGCUUUAAACAGAUUAAACAGGAACUAAAGAAUAUUGAGCGCUUCUUUUACUGAAUUGUGCGACCUUUACCAUGAAGAUCCCUGCAGAUAAGUUGACGGUGAUAGAUUUGUUCUUUGAUUAAAAUUAUGAUAGAAUAAUCGAUUUUGAGUAAUUAAUUAGUACUUGACUUAUAGGUCGAUACUUUCUAGUUUGUACGGAAAAUACUUAUAACCAUUGAAAAAAGAGGAAAAGAGCGAAAUGCAGGUGGGGCCGCAGGAUGUGAGAGGUGGCAGAAAGACCCUGUUGCUGAUUAUAGAGCAACAGAGAAGAAUGAGGAGGUAAUGAUUAGCAGUGAAAUGGUCAGCAUUGCUGAACCACCAAUAAGAGGGUGUUACGGUUCAGGGUGGAAACACCAGAUGGCCGUUGGAUACAGUAUGAUGACAUCAUGACACCAAUUCCUAUUGGUCAAAACUAAAUUCAUCAAAACAUGGAAGGAGAACACGCAUCUUCCUCUAGAUAUUAUCAAUAUCAUAUGAUACUUAAGAGGCAGCGAGCUGGCAGAGUCGUUAGCACGCUAGGCAAAGUACUUUGCAGCAUAUCGUCCAUCUGUACUUUUUUAGUUCAAAUUCUGCCGAGGACAUCUUUGCCUUUCAUACUUUUGGGAGCGAUAAAAUAAAAACCAUUUGAGCACUGGGGUCGAUGUAAUCGACUUAACUUUCUCCUAAAACUGCUGGGCUUGUGCUAAAAUUUGAAGCUAUUAUUAUUAUUUUGGUUUGGCUCAGGUUUGACCUUAUUCCUGGUAUGACUUAUGUGGAUAGCGGGUUACUACCUGUAACCUUAGGUAUCUACAAGUUUUCGACAGUCUUUCACGUGCUUACAACCCUCCUGAUAGUCCUUGCUGUCCCUAAGAGGCAAACUUUCUCUAGGAGCUCUACUGGGCAUUCUGUUCCAAUCCGCUUCAGCCAUUAGUCUGUAUCUUGGCUUACUGUUCCCAACGCACCAACUAUUAUAGGCACGACCUUUACUGUUCGCAUGCUCCAAAUUCUUCCUAUUUUAAAUUUUAAGGGAUUGUAUUUUUUCUUCCUCUUUCAUUACGAUCAUGGAAUCAAGUGGGCAUUAUUAUUAUUAUUAUUAUUAUUAUUAUUAUUAUUAUUAUUAUUAUUAUUAUUAUUAUUAUUAUCAUUAUCGUUGUCGUUGUCGUCGUUGUUGUUGUUGUUGUUGUUAUUGCUAAAGUUAUUAUUAUUCAUAUACACUCAGCAGAUUAAACAAAUUGGAAAAGAAAAGAAGAUACCAAGAACCAUUCUAAGUAUCCUAGCUGUCGCCAAUAACACUGUUUUCUGGAGCUGUACUGAACUGGGUUAUAUGCCUAUUUCCUCUAUCCAUCUGUUCAGAUCUUUAAGGAUAGUCCCCAAUGCCCUAUAACUACUGGGAUACACUUUACCCGUACUUUCCGUAGUCUCUGCAAUUCGAUGACCAAGUCCUGGUACUUUGCUAUUUUUUCUAUACUUCUCGUAUUAAUUUUUUUCAUCAUUUAGGACUGUAAAAUCAAUUAUCUGGCACUUUCUAUUCACUUUAUCUGCUACUACUACUACUACUACUACUACUACUUCUACUACUACUACUACUACUACUACUACUACUACUACUACUACUACUACUACUACUACUACUACUACUACUACUACUACUACUACUACCACCACCAAAUCAGACCAUCAAGCUUCUAUUACUCUCAGUAUGAAUGUUCAAGUCCCACAAAAUUGUGUAUUUCUUGCUUUCUAGUAUUUUACUAGAUUGAUGUUCAUACCAUUUAUCAGUAUGUUCAAAUGCUAGCUUUCUACAUAAUUUCCAGUGGAUUACUCUCCCUAAGUUGUCAUGUUUUCUUCUUCUUCUUCUUCUUCUUCUUCUUCUUCUUCUUCUUCUUCUUCUUCUUCUUCUUCUUCUUCUUCUUCUUCUUCUUCUUCUUCUUCUUCUUCUUCUUCUUCUUCUUCUUCUUCUUCUUCUUCUUCUUCUUCAACCUGCCAUUAUUUCUCAAGCCAUGCAAACAAUAAGUUAAUUUGAAAUCUAGCAUUGUUUUUUUCUGAGUCUAGAACAAAUUUUCAAAGAUCGAAAAUUGUGUUUAACAACCUUUAAAACUAUCAAAAAUCUCAACAAGAACCUUUAUGCCGAGAUCCAUAAAUCUAACGAGAAGUGUUGAUAUACCUGACAGUCACACUUCCUGUUCUUCCUGUUCUUUGUCUGUGUGUGUGUGUACUUAUAUGUAUAUAUACGUAUAUAUAUAUAUAUAUAUAUAUAUAUGUGUGUGUGUAUGUGUGUAUGUGUAUAUAUAUAUAUAUAUCAUAUAUAUAUAGGUACAUAUAUAUAUAUAUAUAUAUAUAUAUAUAUAUAUAUAUAUAUAUAUAUAUAUGUAUGUGGAGGCGCAAUGGCCCAGUGGUUAGGGCAGCGGACUCGCGGUCGGAGGAUCGCGGUUUCGAUUCCCAGACCGGGCAUUGUGAGUGUUUAUUGAGCGAAAACACCUAAAGCUCCACGAGGCUCCAGCAGGGGAUGGUGGUGAACCCUGCUGUACUCUUUCACCACAACUUUCUCUCGCUCUUUCUUCCUGUUUCUCUUGCCACAAGCUGUGUCACGCUGAAUCUCCUCGAGAACUACGUUAAGGGUACACGUGUCUGUGGAGUGCUCAGCCACUUGCACGUUAAUAUCACGAGCAAGCUGUUCCGUUGAUCGUGUCAGCUGGGACCCUCAUCGUCGCAACCGACGGAGUGCUCCUAUAUAAGUAUAUAUCUAUGUAUGUUUAUGCAUGUAUAUAUAUAUGUGUGUGUAUAUAUAUGUAUAUAUGUGUGCAUAUAUAUUUACUUAUGUAUUUGUGUGUGUAUAGGUCUAUAUGUGUGCAUAUGUGCGUUUGUGCUGCGUAUUUGAAUGGCUGUGUGUAUAUGUGUGUAUGAGUGAAAUGAGGAUGAAUGUGUAUAUAUGUGAAUAUCUAUAUAUGUAUGCAUAACAGUAUGUUUAUGUGAGACUGUGAACAUUAGUGUGAAUAUAUAUAUAUAUAUAUAUGUGUGUGUGUGUGUGCGUGUGUGCGUGUGUGCGUGUUAUGAGUGUGUUUAUGAGUCGGUAAUUGCGUGUUUGCAUAUAUACCUGUCCGUUCGUCUAUCAGUAUGUAUGUAUGUAUGUAUGUAUGUAUGUAUGUAUGUAUGUAUGUAUGUAUGUAUGUAUGUAUGUAUGUAUGUAUGUAUGUAUGUAUGUAUGUAUGUAUGUAUGUAUGUAUGUAUGUAUGUAUGUAUGUAUGUAUGUAUGUAUGUAUGUAUGUAUGUAUGUAUGUAUGUAUGUAUGUAUGUAUGUAUGUAUGUAUGUAUGUAUGUAUGUAUGUAUGUAUGUAUGUAUGUAUGUAUGUAUGUAUGUAUGUAUGUAUGUAUGUAUGUAUGUAUGUAUGUAUGUAUGUAUGUAUGUAUGUAUGUAUGUAUGUAUGUAUGUAUGAGCGUGUAUAUCCAAUCUGCCACAUUCAAAGUCUACAUUCUAUAGAACUGUAGCUUUCACAUGUUUCCAUUUAUAAUCCAUUGUAAAGCAUAUUCUUGCCUUGAAUUGUAGGCGAACCCCGCCACUGAAGACCGUUAGCUCGCAGCAAGCCAUGUGCGUGACCUGGUUUCCAUUCCUCUUUAUAGCUCCGGGCCAAAACGUGAAGGUCACAUCGACUACUUUUUUCAUUCUAUUUUGCUCGACAGACGCUUAAUCACUCAUUGGCAAUCACAUUCAUUCUUAAAUUUAAUCAAUUUACUCGACAAAAUUCCACUACUUCACGGCUUCAUUGAUUUCAUUCCACCGUCUUUAUAUUCUGCAUUCAAUCUUCGUGUAGGCUCAUAACAUUUACAUGCAGCAGGUUUUGUUAUAUUACUAAUUUACAUUUCAUACACACAACAAGCACAUACAAAUGCACACAAACGCGCACGAACACACACACACACAUACGCAUACAUAUAUGGCUGCAAUCGAAUGACUAAAACAAGUACAUAUAUAUUCGUGUAUAUAUUCUUUUACUCUUUUACUCUUGUUUCAGUCAUUUGACUGCGGCCAUGCUGGAGCACCGCCUUUAAUCGAGCAACUCGACCCCGGGACUUAUUCUUUUGUAAGCCCAGUACUUAUUCUAUCGGUCUCUUUUGCCGAACCGCUAAGUAACGGGGACAUAAACACACCAGCAUCGGUUGUCAAGCAAUGAUAGGGGGACAAACACAGACACAAACAUACAUACGCAUAUAUAUAUAUACGACGGGAUUCUUUCAGUUUCCGUCUACUAAAUCCACUCACAAGGCUUUGGUCGGCCCGAGGCUAUAGUAGAAGACACUUGUCCAAGGUGCCACGCAGUGGGACUUAACCCGGAACCAUGUGGUUGGUAAACAAGCUACUUACCACACAGCCACUCCUAUAUAAACAUACAUACAUAUAUAUAUAUGUAUAUGUAUAUGUAUAUAUAUAUAUCUACAUAUAUAUAUAUAUAUAUAUAUAUAUAUAUAUAUAUAUAUAUAUAUAUAUAUAUUACGUUUUUUAUCAUUAAAGUUGCAAACACAUCACAAAAAUAUUACAAAAACUGCUACUCAGAGUUUUACGUUCCCGUUCGUCGGGUAGGUAUGAUCACAACUGCUCGUCGAACGGGAAUGUGAAAGUCUGAGUAGCAGUUUUUUUGUGUGAUAUUUCUGUGAUAUUUUUGCAGCUAUAAUAAUAAAGCGUAUAUACUUGUGUGCGCGUAUGUGUGUGAGUGAGUGUAUGUGUGUGUGUGUGUGUGUGUGUGUGUGUGUGUGUGUGUGUGUGUGUGUGUGUGUGCGUGUGUGCGUCUGUGAAUGUAUGAUAAGUAAAACAGUAUUUCGAAGACCAAGGUCUUCACUUCGUGGCUGGAAACAACUGAAGCUCUCACUAGUUACUAGGAUGUGUGUGUCGUGUGUCCCAACUGGUAUAUUACUCACAAUCCAUAACUUCUUUCAGAUCCUCCGACAAUAAUGUGGCAGCAGCAGCAGCAGCAGCAGCAGAAGCAGCAGCAGAAGCAGCAGCAGCAACAUGGGGCAUGCUCUAUAACAGCGCGUCGUUGCAUCCACAAUUUGUUAGUGACUUCAUACUACUCCUGAUGGAUGGUACCUUUGCAUCACCCCCAACCCUCCAACCCAUGGGUCUGUUUGUGAAUCGAACCCACGAAUAGGCGAUCGUGAGGGCAACUACUAGGCCACGCGCAUUCACAGAAGGCAGAACGAAGUCAUAUUCUGAUCAGAGACCUGGGCUGAAGCCUGUAUCCCUGUUACAAAAUUAAAGUCCCCAUAAGGGUCACGUAGUAGGGCUAAAUCUUCGGGGGACGUGACAUAAAUACUAGUAACAGAUCGGACAUCACUAAAAGUAACUGAGUCCCAGACGCCGAUCUUAAACACGGUUUUAAAAUUUAUCGGCUCAGACUCCGUUACAGCCCAUCCACAGCUAGCGAGUAUGCACACCACUUCCGGUCUAUGUUCAAAUUGCAUUCCGCCCGUAAAUGUAUUUAUUACUUCCGGUCCCAUGACAGAUUUCACUCCCCCUGCGAAUGCGUUUACUACUAAAGUUAAAUUUGUUCUUAUCGCAUCACAUCAGAGGUUAUAAUAAAAUUUUGAAGAAAACGAACACAUCAACAUUAAUGAGCGAUUAUGCUUUUUCCGCGAAAUCAUUGUUUUCAUACCUAAAUGCGUGAUGCUUUCAGAGCGUCAUCCUGUUUACGCUAUAAGCGGGCCUACUGUUAUCUUUAGGAGCGUUUCUUCUCCGUUGUAAAUAUCUAUUUCUUUACUACCCACAAGGAGCUAAACACAGAGGGGACAAACAAGGACAGACAAACGGAUUAAGUCGAUUAUAUCGACCCCAGUGCGUAACUGGUACUUAAUUUAUCGACCCCGAAAGGAUGAAAGGCAAAGUCGACCUCGGCGGAAUUUGAACUCGGAACGUAACGACAGAUGAAAUACGUCUACGCAUUUCGUCCGGCGCGCUAACGUUUCUGCCAGCUCGCUGCCUAUAAAUAUCGUCGACUUUGCCUUUCAUCCUUUCGGGGUCGAUAAAUUAAGUACCAGUUACGCACUGGGGUCGAUGUAAUCGAAUUAAUCCCUUUGUCUGUCCUUGUUUGUCCCCUCUGUGUUUGGCUCCUUGUGGGCAAUAAAGAAAUAUAUAAAUAUCGUGAUCGGGUCUCCACGUGGCAUGUUAUGCAUGAAUUCCUAUCUUAGCAACAACCCAAGAUAGGACAUUUGUUAUUCCCUUCCCGCCAGACAACCUAGAUAUGUCACGGACCAUAAACUCCCUUUUCUAACUGACUCGUGAUAAUAAAUAAAUCCAUUUAUAAAUAAGAUGAAAAGAGAAUCGGUAUGCAAUUUUCACAACGACCUCUCUCAUUCUCUCUCCUUCUCUCUCUACACGCACACGCAUACACAUAUACAUACAAGCAUGCAUACAUAUAUACAAAAAUAUUUCUUGUUAAUCAUCUUCAGUUCAUCAGUCUCAAAAUUUCCCUUUAUAUAUAUAUGUAUGUAUAAGUGAGAGUCAACGACUAUUGUAAAGGUUGCAAGACGCAACGAUAAUUUUAGGAAAAAUAAAUAAGCAAAUGAGUGGAAACUUAACCAACGUGUGUGUUAAAUAAUACGGCACUAAAAGAGAAUGACUCUCCCCAGACACAACAAAAUAUGUAGAAGUAUAUAUAUAUAUAUAAUAUUAAAUUAGAGAUAAAACCACUAUUAGGCAAAUCAUACGAUGAAAAACUUAAGCCAAUACAUAAGAUUAUUUAAUUUAUAUUAUUUAAAUAUAUAACAAAAUUAUUAAAAAAAUAUAAUUAAUAUAACACUACGAUCGUUUCAUCGCUGUUAAUUUCUUUAAAUUUUCGAGUUACAGUCAUUCAUCAGGUGGUUUAACUAUUUAACUUGGCGAGGUUUAAUCAAUGAUCGUAGUGUUAUAUUAAUUAUAUAUUUUUAAUAAUUUUGUUAUAUAUUUAAAUAAUAUAAAUUAAAUAAUCUUAUGUAUUGGCUUAAGUUUUUCAUUGUAUGAUUUGCCUAAUAGUGGUUUUAUCUCUAAUUUAACAUAAUAUAAUAUUUUACUAUAAAAUUGGAUUCAAUCCUAAAUCUGAUUUUUUCCCUGUAAGUUUGGAUUUAUUCCCUAAUAUUUAUAAUAUAUAUAUAUAUGCAUGUAUGUAUGUUUACACACACACACAAACACAUAUAUAUAUAUAUGAGAGAGAGAGAUAGAGAGAGAUAGAGAGAUAGAGAGAGAUAGAGAGAGAGAGAGAGAGAGAGAGAGAUGUGUGCAUGUGUAUAUGUACGUGUAUACACGUAUGUGUCUAUACAUCUGUUGACAACAUUUCUCUCUCUGUUUGACAACCUGGUUGGCUCUUUCUAUUUAUCUACGCGUGAAUGAAUAAAGGAAUAGGCGUCUGUGCACCUUAUUAAAACUGUGAGUCCAACACAAAGCGUUUCUUUCAAUGCGUUCAAAGAACUCACAAACACACAAACACAGAUAUUCACGGGCGUGCACACACACACACAUAUAUAUAUAUAUAUAUAUAUAUAUAUAUAUAUAUAUGUAUGUAUGCAUUUAUUCAUGUGUUUAUAUACAUAUAUAUAUAUAUAUAUAUAUAUAUAUAUAUAUAUAUAUUUUCUAUAUAUAAAUAUAUAGAUUCUAUAUAUAUAUAUAUAUAGAUUCAUAUAUAUAUAUACAUAUAUAUAUCUAUAUAUAUAUAUAUAUAUAUAUAUGCGUAUAUAUAUAUAUAUAUAUAUAUAUAUAUAUAUAAUGCAUAAUGCGUAAGUGAAAUUUUGGGACUAUGAAGUGGUGGUAAUUAACCGGAAAUAUUUCAGUUCUUGUUAUUUCUUAUUUCCAAAUCGUCAGCUCUCUCUCUCUCUCUCUCUCUCCCUAUCUCUCUCUCUCUUUUCUCCAUCGUAUUCUCUCUCUCUCUCUCACCCUCUCAUUAAUUUCCAUCUCUAUGAAAACAUGCUUUGUAACGGAAGUAGGGUCUUAUAAACGUGAUUUCAAUCGGAAGUAGCUACACAUGAUUUGUCAUGACGUGAACUGGGAUUUGUGAAACAAAUGUUUUCGUUUUUGGUUUAUCUAUGAUUCCAAGUUCUAAGAUUCCAGCUUGGAAACGUUGUUAUGUUGCUAUGAUAAAAGUCCCAUUUAUUUACGAUGCCAUUUUCAGAAUCUAUGAAAAACAGUUUUUUUUUCCUAUUCCUAAUUCAAUUAGUAAUUUGUGGAAUUAGCGAUUAAUCAAUCACUGCACUCGAUGACUUUUCAAAUUCUUCAAAUCUAAUGCAACAAGAGGAAGACUAUCUCAUUAACACUGGUGCCGCUGCUGCCUCUGCUGUAACCACAGGCAACGGCUGCAACCGCUACAACUGUUGAAGUUCCUGCUGCUGCUGCUGCAGCUACUACUACUACUACUACUACAACUACUACUACUACUACUACUACUACUACUACUACUACUACUACUGCUGCUGCUGCUGCUGCUGCUUCGCCUCCUCACUCCUGCUCCUCCUUCUCCUCGUCCCCUUCCUGCUCCUUCCCCCCUCCUCCUCCCCAACCCCCUCCUUCUCCUCGUCCCCUCCUCCUCCUCCUCCUCCUCCUCCUCCUCCUCCUACUACUACUACUACUACUACUACUACUACUACUACUACUACUACUACUACUACUACUACUACUACUACUACUACUAUCAGUAGUAUAAUAAACUCAUAAAGCAAUGGUGCUGAAUACUUUUCUAAACACAAUUGCAGAACUUAAGUUCCUCAAUUUUCUUUCAUUUUCUCCUAGAACUAUCUUUUACCGUUUUCAGACAUAGCAUUCCACAACCAUUCCUAUAUCUCCCUUAAUUAUGUUACUCCUUUCUAUUUGAUUUUUUUACCAAUUCCUCAACUUAAACAACAUUUCGCUACAAUCGUCCGUCUAUCUUUCUUUUGCCUGUUUCGAGUGCCAGUUACAAAAAUAUUUCUAUCUUCUUCACAAAUAUUAUUACUUAUUGGGUCAAAUCCUACCAAUAAUCGAUAUCUGAUAUUUAGAAACGCUUUUCUCCCCGACCACCACCCCAAAAAAAAAGAAAAAAAAAGAAUCAGGCCGUUCCUUCUUCACUGUAAUUUUCUUUGUCUUCUUCCCAGACACCUUAUUUGAAGUUCUUGAGGAAUUUCUGGUUUUCACUUCGAGAACAUUUUUGUUUUAAAAAUUUAUCCAUAUUUUCUUUAUAAAUUCACGUCCUUAUCUGCUCGGAAUUGGUAUCUUUUCCCAUCUCAACUGGGUUUUCUUAUAUGUACUACAUAGCACAGACGUUCUUUACCCAGAAUCAUCUCUGCAUCAAAAUCUUUUCUCGUUCCGAUUAAUCAAUACAUAUCUAUAAUAUACCUUUUCAUAAAACUAUACUCUUUCCUGCGUUUUCUCACCAUCCUCAUCGCCACAUCUCUCCCCCACUCCUCUUUCUUAUUUUUGUGGCCAAUCCACACUUCAUCUUCACCAUGUUACAUACUGUUCUCAAAAUGGCUUCCUUCCUUCUUGUCUUUCAUCUGCAGAAUUUAUAACACAUUCCUUUCCAGUGUCUCUUUGUAUGUAAAACACUUUUAUUGCUUGUUCGUUCAUCAGAAAACAGUUUCUUUGCGAGAAUUCUCUUAAAUCAUUCCAGUUAGCUUUUUAUUGUUUCAAACUCUUAAUGGCUUUAGUCACUGAAUUACGGCUAUGAUAGAGAACUGCAGUUGAUCGUAUUAAUCUCAGUAUAUAAGUAAUUAUUUCAAAGCAGAAUUUACUAAAUCGCGCCUGUUUGUCGAACCGCUAUGUUACAGCAGAUAAGGUGACGCAAUAUAAGCAACAUCAUGCUAUAGACUGAGUUAAAUAAAGACACACGUACGCACCUACAAAUACAAUAGACAUACUCAUAGGUGCGUAUGUGCAUGUAUAUACACAUUUAUAUAUAUAUAUAUAUAUAUAUAUAUGUUUACACACAUCAAAGCAUGAGGUUGGAAAUAUUUUUGGUGUUAUCUAUUCAUGAUUACAGGUGUUUCGUUUGCUAAUAGGAGUUACAAAAUUAUACAUGUGAAAUAUCUCCUAUUAGAAAUUCCUACAUGAGGAGACAGUUUGGAUUUUAACCCUAUCCACGUUAUAUAUGCGUGUAUGUAUGUAUGUAUGUACGUAUGUAUGUAUGUAUGUAUGUAUGUAUGUAUGUAUGUACCUCUCUCUCUAUAUAUAUAUAUGUAUGAGUAUACACACACACACACACACAGACACACACAAAAACACACACACACACAUAUAUAUAUAUGGCUCAGUGGUUAGGGCAGCGGAUUCGCUGUCAUAGGAUCGCGGUUUCGAUUCCCAGACCGGGCGUUGUUUAUUGACCGAAAACACCUAAAGCCCCACGACACUCCGGGCGGGGUUUGAUGGCAAAUUCUGCUCUCUCACUCUUUCUUCCUGUUCCUGCUGUACUUGUAUUUCUAAGUGCCCAGCCUUGUCACGCUGAAUCUCACCGAGAGCUACAUUGAGG